CAGUAGCCGCGGUAAUACGAAGGGGGCUAGCGUUGUUCGGAAUCACUGGGCGUAAAGGGUGCGUAGGCGGAUUCUUAAGUCAGGGGUGAAAUCCCGAGGCUCAACCUCGGAACUGCCUUUGAUACUGGGGAUCUUGAGUUCGGAAGAGGUGAGUGGAACUGCGAGUGUAGAGGUGAAAUUCGUAGAUAUUCGCAAGAACACCGGUGGCGAAGGCGGCUCACUGGUCCGGAACUGACGCUGAGGCACGACAGCGUGGGGAGCAAACAGGAUUAGAGACCCCUGUAGUCCCUGUCUCUUAUAC
rnacentral:rRNA from 1 species